rnacentral:rRNA from 1 species
UGGGGAAUAUUGCACAAUGGGCGAAAGCCUGAUGCAGCAACGCCGCGUGAGCGAUGAAGGCCUUUGGGUCGUAAAGCUCUGUCCUUGGGGAAGAAAAAAAUGACGGUACCCUUGGAGGAAGCCCCGGCUAACUACGUGCCAGCAGCCGCGGUAAUACGUAGGGGGCAAGCGUUAUCCGGAAUUAUUGGGCGUAAAGAGUGCGUAGGUGGUUUUGUAAGCGCGAGGUGAAAGGCAAUAGCUCAACUAUUGUAAGCCUUGCGAACUGUAAGACUUGAGUGCAGGAGAGGAAAGUGGAAUUCCUAGUGUAGCGGUGAAAUGCGUAGAUAUUAGGAGGAACACCAGUGGCGAAGGCGACUUUCUGGACUGUAACUGACACUGAGGCACGAAAGCGUGGGGAGCAAACA